CUUGGGUUAAAAAUGUUGCUAUUUUUUUCUACAAACUUAAUUAAACUUAAAGCAGUUUGACUUUAACUAAAGUCAAAAUAUUUUAUAACUUGAAAUGGUUAUAAAUAGAUGGAGUAUUUAUUAGGCUUACAACAUAUAAUAUUUAUUUGUUUUAUAAUUAAGUAGAUAACCCGUCAGCUGUCCUUGACUAUUCUCAGUUUCCAUUCUAACUUCUCAGUUUGUGAUGUCUGUUCUAGCUCAAGCUUUCAAGCUUGAGUCGUCGUCUCGUCGAAGCUCUUUUGUUUUUCUUUUCUUUCUAUUUUUUGGUACUUUUUUUUUGUUAGUGUUUCAAUUGUACUUAUUUUAGAACAGCGGUAGUAUAUACUGUGAAGAUUGUUGCGUGAGAGUAAAAAUCUCUAAAUAUUUGAUACCGUUGACUUUUUUAAAUAUAUUUGAUUAUUCAUUUUAUUAAAAAAAAUUAAGUAAUUAUUAAUUCUUUUUCUAUCAUUUGAUUUAUUGUUAAAUAUACUUUUAUUUAUAUAUAUAUAUAGUUUUACAAAUUUUUCAAAAAAAUUUUAAGUAAGACGAAUGGUUAAACAUGUUUAAAAAAAAUCAAACGGCGUCGAAUAUUUAGAAGCGGAGGGAGUAACUUAUUUGGUUUUAUACCUUUGCAGUUGAAGUGGCCGUUCUUGGUGAGCAGGUCCAUGUGGUAGUAGAGGCUGAAGAUGAUCGCCGGCUCCGUCCAGAACGAGACGUACGGCACGCCGAGCUUCC
rnacentral:lncRNA from 1 species